GUAGCCGCCGAGGGGUAGGGUUUCUCAUAAUGUUUGAUUUGCAAUUUUAGGGUUCUAUUUCGAUUUGAAUCCAAUCUCUUCUUGAGUUGAAAGCGCAGCCCUUAAGAUCGCCUUCCACAGGAAAACAUGGAAGCGUUUUGAGUCAUAGCUGCGCAAUAUCAAGCUAUAACCAUAUUGGGGGUCUUGUUAGGGUUUCCCUUUCGAGUUCCCCUUAUUGUCUCACCUGAAGUUUCUUAAUGAGACAAUAUCUCUCUGCUAUUUCCACGUUUUUUUUGGACGCCUAGGUAUGUAGUUUCAUAAGCUGCUAUAUCUACGGUUGUUUCCACUAAACGGGAAUUUGCAGGUCCAUUGUUGUCUCAAAUUCUGGUGGGAAACAGUUUCAUAUUACUAUUUGGAAUUUGCUUAUAUUUCUGCUAUUGUAAUGUUGUGCUUCCCAGCAAAUGGGUAAUCCAUGACUUGCCCGUUCGUUUCUUACUUCAGUUGUCUUUGAUUUUGCUUUUCAUUAGUUUUUGUCAUCUGUUUUAGGGAACGUAUGAGUAUUUUAUGGAUGGCUGAUUUGUUGGUACGAAUUGCCUUACAACGGUUUUGCUCAUCUUUUACCGAAAACAUAGUUUCAGACCUUUUGUUUUGGUGGUUAGAUAACUCAAGGUCGAUGAUGAUAAACUUUUAAGGCUUGUUUCUCAAGACAUUCGCAGUGGCCGCCUGAGAACUUUCGCCUUCGCCAGGCUUGAGAGUUUGUGCUGCUAUAAUCCUUCCUUGGAUGUCUGAGGCCUUGUUCUAACCACUCGUAGCAUUGUUGUAUAAUGUCAUGCCGCAUAGUUUGUCUAUGUGAAUGAAUCUUUGGAGGCAAAUAUAGUGUCUGACUUUCCCAUGUGUUAAUUUGCAGUUUUAUUUUAUUUUUAUAAUUGUCUGUGAAAACAUACAAGAUUAUUCGUUAGUCAGUUGCCUCUUGAGAAUGUUUUAACUUGACAAGUUAGCUCAGGUCUUCAGUUUGUACUGAUAAUUGAUUUUGCCAUCCUUAUAGCACAUUCCACAAAAUAUAUAUUAAGUGUUAAUUUUUUUUGGGAUGAUUUUGGUGGCUGGUUAGAGAUAGAAGUAAAUUCAAAGGAUUGUUUAUAAAGACAUUUGCAGUGGCCCUGAGAACUUUUGCCUUGGCCAGGCUUGAGAGUUAAUAAUGUGAUAACCCUUCCUUGGAUGUCUGAGGCCUUAUUCUAACGACUUCUAUCAUCAUUUAAUAAUUGUAUGCCUCAUAAUUAGUGAUAUGUGGAUGCAUUUUUGAAGGCAAAUCAACUGUCUUACUUUCCCAUAUGUUAAUAUGCAGUUUUUUAGCUUUUCAAAUGCGGUAUGUUUGUCUGUGAAAAGUGAGAACAUAGCAUGAUUAUUUGUUAUUUGGUGGCUGAUUACGAAUGUUAGGGGCAUGACAAGUUUGCUAAGGUGUUCAAUUCGUAUUGAUAAUUGAUGUUUGUAUUUAAAGAGUAGUGAUUUUUUGGGUGAAUUUUUGUGGUUGGUUGGAGGAGAUAAGGUUGAUGAUGAUAAAUUCAAAGGCUUGUUUCUCAAGACAUUCGCAGUGGCCGCCUGAGAACUUUCGCCUUCGCCAGGCUUGAGAGUUAAUGUUGCAAUAAUCCUUCCUUAGAUGUCUGAGACCUUAUUCUAACCACUUCUAACAUGACUUUAUAAUCAUAUGCUGCACAGUUAGUGAUAUGUGGACACAUUUUUGGAUGCAAAUCAACUGUUUUGACUUUCCCAUAUGUUAAAUGUGGUUGCUCCUCGUUGCCCCCUUUCUCGUAAUUCUAACUAGAUGCGCAAGAGAUUUUCACCUUAAUUUGGUGGUUGGUGGUCAUAGAGCUCUGGUGAAUCUUCUCUUGAUUUUCUGAAAUUUGUUUUUGAAAGUUUGGUGUUGUAAUAGGUAUCAUUCUAAUUCUUUAUUCGUUUUGGUUGUGGAAUUUGAAUUGGAAAGGAGAGGUGGUUUGCUACUUAGGACUCUUGCUAGUAUGAUGGCAUGUAUGGUUUAUUUUGAGCAUUCAUAUGAUGUUGUUUUUUCUACCCAAUAUUUGUUUGUUUGUUUAUGCUUUGUACAAGUUUGACAACCCUGAUCUCUGGUUCAUAGCAGGUGCGGCUGAACGAUGUGGAAACAGGGCCAUUUCAUGUUCUCUUUUAUGGUUUUGGUUUUUGUACAACGAUCACAUUCACCUAUUGUAUGAAUCGGCUAUUCCCAUGGAUAUGGUAAUAGGAUUACCUCUCUGUGCGACAGCAGGGAUUCAUGUUUUUAACAGUUGAUUUGAGACAAUGGACAAUUCAUUCUCUUAUUUUGAAAUUUUUUUGUCCAUUCAUCGUUUGGAUU